CUGAAGAUUGCGGUGUGACAGUGCUCUGACUCCGUAGUAAGUAAGGACGCUACUGGAGUUGAUGUUCGGUGAUUUUGGGCGCGAGCCGUCGAUCGCUGUUCGCCAUUGCAGGCAUGACAAGAGGGUUUAGAGUUGCACGGAAUCGAAUCC